AUUGAACGCUGGCGGCAUGCCUUACACAUGCAAGUCGAACGGUAACAGGCCGCAAGGUGCUGACGAGUGGCGAACGGGUGAGUAAUGCAUCGGAACGUGCCCAGUCGUGGGGGAUAACGCAGCGAAAGCUGCGCUAAUACCGCAUACGAUCUCUGGAUGAAAGCGGGGGACCGAAAGGCCUCGCGCGAUUGGAGCGGCCGAUGUCAGAUUAGGUAGUUGGUGGGGUAAAGGCCCACCAAGCCAACGAUCUGUAGCUGGUCUGAGAGGACGACCAGCCACACUGGGACUGAGACACGGCCCAGACUCCUACGGGAGGCAGCAGUGGGGAAUUUUGGACAAUGGGCGCAAGCCUGGUCCAGCAAUGCCGCGUGCAGGAAGAAGGCCUUCGGGUUGUAAACUGCUUUUGUACGGAACGAAACGGUCCGGGUUAAUACCCUGGGCUAAUGACGGUACCGUAAGAAUAAGCACCGGCUAACUACGUGCCAGCCGCCGCUGUAAUAC
rnacentral:rRNA from 1 species